rnacentral:rRNA from 1 species
AUUGAACGCUGGCGGCAUGCUUUACACAUGCAAGUCGAACGGCAGCGCGGGCUUCGGCCUGGCGGCGAGUGGCGAACGGGUGAGUAAUGCAUCGGAACGUGCCCAGUAGUGGGGGAUAGCCCGGCGAAAGCCGGAUUAAUACCGCAUACGACCUGAGGGUGAAAGCGGGGGACCGAAAGGCCUCGCGCUAUUGGAGCGGCCGAUGUCGGAUUAGCUAGUUGGUGGGGUAAAGGCUUACCAAGGCGACGAUCCGUAGCUGGUCUGAGAGGACGACCAGCCACACUGGGACUGAGACACGGCCCAGACUCCGACGGGAGGCAGCAGUGGGGAAUUUUGGACAAGGGGGCAACCCUGAUCCAGCCAUGCCGCGUGCGGGAAGAAGGCCUUCGGGUUGUAAACCGCUUUUGUUCGGGAAGAAAUCCUCUGGGCUAAUACCCCGGGGGGAUGACGGUACCGGAAGAAUAAGCACCGGCUAACUACGUG